GGUAGAAGAACCAGAACGCUUGGAGGCCUGCCGUACCCUGUCUUUCUUGAUGCUUUUGCAGGCCCAUUUGUAAGACACUCCAAAAUAGGCAAUACAAAAGCCAGAGUUUUACCCUGACCAGUCCGUGCGCGACCGACCAAGUCAGAUCCGUCGAGAAUAUCAUCGAAGGUCCUGGCCUGAAUUGGGAACAACGACUCGAUCCCUUUGGACUUGAGCUUCUCUCUCAGGGGGGCAGAUAUGCGAAACCUCGAGAUAGCGUUGGGAUGCUCGGCCUUCGCUACCUCUCCCUCUCCCUCCUCAUCCUCCUCCUCAGCGACCUUUGCCUUCUUAUUCUUCUUCUUUGUUUUCUCUGAUUUCAAAUUUACAGGCUCGACAAGCUCCGAACUCGUCUCGCUUCUCUCUUCAUCUUCAGAGUCGAUGUCUACGACUUUUCGCUUCUUCUUAUCUUUCUUCUUCUGCUUCUUGUCAUAAAAGACUUCAUCUUGGGCCUCUGAAAUUUCCAAAGCAAUUUUCUUCCUCAUCUUCUUCUCCUUCUUCUCUUUGGAAUCUGAGGAGUGAUUAGCUAGAGCAAUGGAUGGCAUUAUCUUAUAGAGGGAGCAAAAAACAAUAGAGGUUAGAAUAGAAUCGUCUGUGUGUAUAUAAAAAACAAGGGAGAGGGAGUUGUGUGCUUUCUCCUGCUAUAGAAGGAUGUAGCAAUGAGUUGCAGAAGCAGG
rnacentral:misc_RNA from 1 species